UUUUGGUAAGCAGAACUGGAGAUGAGGGCUGAACCUAACGCGAGG
rnacentral:rRNA from 1 species